GGCGGUGUAGCUCAGCUGGCUAGAGCGUGCGGUUCAUACCCGCAAGGUCGAGGGUUCAAGUCCCCCCGCCGCUACCA
rnacentral:tRNA from 4 species